UUACAGCACCGUGUUACAGCACCGCGCCCGGGGCGCCCCGGGACCGCAGGGCACCCACAGCUGCUCGCAGGCACACGUUGUGCGGGUUUACAGGAGCCUCGUUUGCUAAAUUAAUCAGAGGGAACCAAAGGGCUGAGCCGGGUGUGCCGGCCUUGUGAUGCAUUGUGAGUCCACUCAGCUGUUCGUUUAAUCAUCGGGAUAAUUAGCCCAAAAGAAACCUGGAGGGGCAACCACAGCUUUUUCUGAUUGCUGCCUCUGGUGGAAUAGCAGGGGCUGAGAAUGCAAUAACUGGAGAGGGAACCAGUUAUCCAAACCAUGCUCCGUGAAACCCGGAUUUCUCUGGGGAGGUUUCAUGCUAAUGGUGUCACACCUCCAGCGCAGCACGGUGUGAAUGACUCUCCAACAUCAGGUUUAAACUGGAACCGAGCUGUUUGACCACAUGUUUCACUGCCAAACAAAAAAUGAUACUUCUCACCAUGUGGAUACAAAAGCAAACAGCGAAUUCAUUUAAGCCUGAA